CUAUAGCUGUCCGUCGGCGGUACUCUUUUUCGCCUGAGUAUCGUCGGCGCUAAUCACGGCGGAACUUUUGCGGCGGCUUAACCGCUACACGCAAAAGAAUUUUUGCGGUUUGCCCGCACAUAUUGCCCGUUUACCGGCGUGUGUGCGGAAAGAAUAAUAGGUUAAACUAAGUAUGUAGAAAGCGCGUCCGAACGUCGUAAGACCGGGGUGCAAGUCCCCGCUGCUCCACCA
rnacentral:tmRNA from 1 species